AUGGUGCUGCUCGCGUUCACCCGAACGGCCGAAUUCCUCGCCAAGCUGCGGACCAAUGUCCCGAAGAAGGACCGGUCGACUUCACCACAGAGCUGUGGUCCAACGUCUGGGAGAAGGACAGCACGGCUGUCCUCUGGCUCCAUCGGCGGCCUAGGCGCCGCCAAAAAGUGGGUUUCGCUCGCCCUCGCAUUCCAGCUCCGGCUCGGUGAUCACGGUGCUGGGAAGGCAGCAGACGAAGCCGGGAGAGAUGGGUCAACGCCGACCAGACAUGAAGCAAGUCCUGCCUCCGGGGUUGACUUGCUCCUCUUCGCGCAUGAUCUACUGAAGCAACAACAAGGAUGUUCUUCGUGUGGCUGCUUGCUCACUUCUGCACAUAUUCAAUCACGCCACAGAAGAACGGAGAGGCUAGCAGCUCCGCUGAGUGCCAUUUCAACAGGCCAUGUGUCUCCUCUGUCUCAGCGUGUAGUUGGAGUGCAUGAAGAUCACAUUGUCGUUGCUUCUUCUUGUGUCAAACUUCCACCAAGAACAUUAAGCCUCACAUGA
rnacentral:rRNA from 1 species